UGGGGAAUAUUGCACAAUGGGGGAAACCCUGAUGCAGCCAUGCCGCGUGUGUGAAGAAGGCCUUCGGGUUGUAAAGCACUUUCAGUAGGGAGGAAAGGUAAUAACUUAAUACGUUAUUGCUGUGACGUUACCUACAGAAGAAGGACCGGCUAACUCCGUGCCAGCAGCCGCGGUAAUACGGAGGGUCCGAGCGUUAAUCGGAAUUACUGGGCGUAAAGCGUGCGCAGGCGGUUUGUUAAGCGAGAUGUGAAAGCCCCGGGCUCAACCUGGGAAUUGCAUUUCGAACUGGCGAACUAGAGUCUUGUAGAGGGGGGUAGAAUUCCAGGUGUAGCGGUGAAAUGCGUAGAGACCUGGAGGAAUACCGGUGGCGAAGGCGGCCCCCUGGACAAAGACUGACGCUCAGGCACGAAAGCGUGGGGAGCAAACAGGAUUAGAUACCCUGGUAGUCCACGCCGUAAACGAUGUCUACUCGGAGUUUGGUGUCUUGAACACUGGGCUCUCAAGCUAACGCAUUAAGUAGACCGCCUGGGGAGUACGGCCGCAAGGUUA
rnacentral:rRNA from 1 species